rnacentral:rRNA from 1 species
CGGCGAGUGAAGCGGCAACAGCUCAAAUUUGAAAUCUGGCUCCUUUUAGGGGUCCGAGUUGUAAUUUGCAGAGGGUGCUUUGGCAUCGGCGGCGGUCUAAGUUCCUUGGAACAGGACAUCACAGAGGGUGAGAAUCCCGUACGUGGGCGCCUGCCUUUGCCGUGUAAAGCCCCUUCGACGAGUCGAGUUGUUUGGGAAUGCAGCUCUAAAUGGGAGGUAAAUUUCUUCUAAAGCUAAAUACCGGCCAGAGACCGAUAGCGCACAAGUAGAGUGAUCGAAAGAUGAAAAGUACUUUGGAAAGAGAGUCAAAUAGCACGUGAAAUUGUUGAAAGGGAAGCGCUUGCAGCCAGACUUGCCCGCAGUUGCUCACCUAGGCUUUGGCCUGGGGCACUCUUCUGCGGGCAGGCCAGCAUCAGUUUGGGCGGUCGGAUAAAGGCCUCUGUCACGUAUCUCCCUUCGGGGUGACCUUAUAGGGGAGGCGUAAUGCGACCAGCCCGGACUGAGGUCCGCGCAUCUGCUAGGAUGCUGGCGUAAUGGCUGUAAGCGGCCCGUCUUGAAACACGGACCAAGGAGUCUAACAUCUAUGCGAGUGUUUGGGUGUCAAGCCCGAGCGCGCAAUGAAAGUGAACGGAGGUGGGAACCCUUUGGGUGCACCAUCGACCGAUCCUGAUGUCUUCGGAUGGAUUUGAGUAAGAGCAUAGCUGUUGGGACCCGAAAGAUGGUGAACUAUGCUUGAAUAGGGUGAAGCCAGAGGAAACUCUGGUGGAGGCUCGCAGCGGUUCUGACGUGCAAAUCGAUCGUCAAAUUUGGGCAUAGGGGCGAAAGACUAA